rnacentral:tRNA from 1 species
GACAAUAUAGUUUUAAUAAGGGGAAUUUUUACUUUACACGUAAAGGGUGGUUUUGAAUAUGCCUGUUGUCA